CCUACGGGAGGCUGCAGUGGGGAAUAUUGGACAAUGGGCGCAAGCCUGACCCAGCAACUCCGCGUGUAGGAAGAAGGCUUUCGGGUUGUAAACUUCUUUUGUCAGGGAAGAGUAGAAGACGGUACCUGACGAAUAAGCCACGGCUAACUCCGUGCCAGCAGCCGCGGUAAUACGUAGGUGGCAAGCGUUGUCCGGAUUUACUGGGUGUAAAGGGCGUGUAGCCGGGUUGACAAGUCAGAUGUGAAAUCCUGCGGCUUAACCGCAGAACUGCAUAUGAAACUGUUGAUCUUGAGUACUGGAGAGGCAGACGGAAUUCCUAGUGUAGCGGUGAAAUGCGUAGAUAUUAGGAGGAACACCAGUGGCGAAGGCGGUCUGCUGGACAGCAACUGACGGUGAGGCGCGAAAGCGUGGGGAGCAAACAGGAUUAGAUACCCGAGUAGUC
rnacentral:rRNA from 1 species